GAGGGCGCCAUAUUGGACGAGUCUGUCGCCAUUUUGGAUUGAUGAUCCAUUGCAUGAGCGAACUUUGCUGAGCUCAGCUGAGCAUAGGCCUGUAUCGUAGCCCUCCUCAAACACACCCAAGUCAGAGAAGAUGCCGACUGUUUGGCCGAAGAACCCAAUGGCUCUAUGGAAGCCUUACAUCCGAGAGAUAGGUCCUUUCCUCUUCCCGUGUAUACUAAUCACAGGGUAUCUCAUGGGGAAAGCUACCAUGAUUGGAUUGAGAGAAAACAGGAAGCAACAAGCUCUGGAAUCAUCUGGCCACCAUUAACCCAGUGGAGUGUCUAGUUGCAACUUUGUUGGAUUCUGACAAUGUCUGUGCUCUCCUUUCUUCAUCGUCUCAACCCAUCCAUGGCUGGACUACUCAACUACCCCAACAUCAUCAUGUGACAUGAAAUGUGCCAAUGCGAAGUCAAAAACUGUCCGGCACUCCUUUCUGUUACUUUUAUUCAAAUGUUCAUUAUUGAAUGUCAUCUUAAAUCAUCAAAUUAUCUUCAUUGACUUACACAUGUAUUAUGAAUAAGUCAGUCUUGUGUGCUAGGUUAACAGUUUUUGGUUGACUUUCUCUUUGGAUAUCAAUCAAAUAUCAAUUGAUUUUGUCCUUCACGCAGUACAAACAUACAUGAUCAGUUUGAAGGAAUUUGGUUUCAACCAUAUUUUUCUCAUCCCUCAGCAGAAUUUCUCCUUGUUGUGAAGUGAAGUACUUUUUUUUCCUUCCUAAACACUGUACCAACUUUACCCAGUAACAAAGCACAGUAUUUGUCACCAGCAUACAUGAGCGUGUAGAGUGCCUAUAUUCACACAAAACCUGCUGAGUGUGUAAGGUAAACUCACACCCUGACAUUUCAACAUUGUUUACUUUCGGCAGUUUUCAAUAAAUGUUUGAGAGUACUCUAGGAGCAAUGGUACCAAUUCUAGUGGUCCGGCAGGGCGUUAUGUUGUGUAUUGUCAGCGAAAUAUUUGAGAUGAUAAAAAUCUGAUUUAAAGGAGAGCUCAGUCCCUUUACGAUUAGUUUCAGUGUUUAAUUGAUCCUCCAUGAAAAUUUGAAUUGGGAAGUUUAUUUAAAAGUUGCGGUUGCAUGGGUUGCUAGAAAUUUAAAGGGAAUGUUUAUCCAGAGAUAAGUUGAAGAUUUAUUCCUUUAGAAUUGGCAUAGAUUCUUAAUGUGUGAUCUAUUUUACUUCUUCAGUGGAUUUCAUCGUUUUGGGAAAGCACUGUGCUUACUAUGAAUAGCCACGGCUGUUCUUUGUUCAACAGAUUUUGCUGUGUACAUCCUAGCAAAUUAUACUCAUAAAAUAACAAAACAGGAUUUGUUACAAUUGAAGACA